rnacentral:lncRNA from 1 species
UCACCAACCUCCUACCUCACUCUUUAAGUCUUGUAACUUGCUAUGGAUUUAGUGUAAUAUCUUCUUACAGUAUAGUUCCAUUAUUCUCUCUCUCUUUUUUUCUUUUUAAAUGCUUGCAAUCGGUUUCUUACAUCCUCACCUUUUGAUGCGAAUCACAAUGCUUACUUAGGUGAAGGGGUCUGGUUACUCAGUGAGAUAAUACUAAAAUCUCUUUUUUUUCUCAAUAUCAGUACUAAGAAAAACUUUUUGCAUACCUCGAUCUUUCCACUUAAAUCCCAUGGAGUAGAUUCUUCAUUG